CCUUCCGUAGGGGAACCUGCGGAGGGAUCAUUA
rnacentral:rRNA from 1 species